GGUGAUCCACUGUUGCUGCUGCUGAAUCGCACCACCCGCUGUGCUCACAUCCACUGUUUGGUCUCCAUCAACAUUCAACAAGCAUCGAUGAGUCAUUUUUUCCACGUGGAGAAAUUCAAUUUCACACCGUUGCUGCAUAUGCACUUCCAUGUCAGACACCAUUUUGUCAGACUGCCCCUCUGCUGCUGUACAUUGCACAACCAACAUAAUAAAACAAGAGGCAUUACUUUUGGAGAAACUGUCAUAUAUUUACAAGCACAUACCAAACUGAAAGACGCUACUUGACCCUGCCUCAAAUUGCUUGCAGCCUGGUGAUGACAUGAAGAGCUCAUAAUGGCAGAUGCAGUAGGACUGGAAGAAGAGUAUGGGGAAGAACAUAAUUUGCACACUGUCAUAGGACUGGAGCUAGUGCAUACUUUGCGCAAUGAAGAACUAAAUUACAUCUGUGACCUCCACUACCAACAGAAGGUGGUAUCUUUCAGUAUUUGUCUUCAGUUUUUUUUCUUUGAUAAACUGUAGCAGAAUUCCUAUGUAGUUUAGGAAAUGCUAUAGUGUAUUUAGUUUAUUUUUCAAGGUUGAAAAUGUGACAGUAAUGUUAUGAAGUUUGAAAUGCAAUACAUGAAGUAGCUGGAAAACAAAUUCUAUAUUUUCAAUUGUUAGAACCCAUGGAUAAGCUGUUACUAAUUAAAAUAAAAUAAAAUAAAAUAAAAUAAAAUAAAUAAAUAAAAAAGGACCCACUUACCAUUCUCAGAAACGGUUGUACUUAAGUGUAAGUACUAUGAAAUGAAAAUUGAUUUUCAUGGUUCCUUAUUCUCCAAUACAGGGAAGGACAGUAGUUUCUUUAUUGUCCUCUGUAACCCUCCAGUUCACCAUAACUUAUUCUUUUUUCAUUUAGAAAUCUUCACUCUGUUACUUCCCCUCCCCAUUUCCUUUCCACUGCAACAGGAAGUCUCCAGGGGAAUUUGCUAGAUACAUAGAUGCCUUGGAAGGGAAAAGAGGAGACAAUUGUAGGUUAUCUGACUGUGUGGGUUGUAUGAGAAUUUAUUUUCAAAAAGAUGUAUGGGUUAUCUGAGUAGCAGGCUAUAUACAAGAAAAUAUGGUAAUAUCAAACCAUUUUAUUUCUAUCUGAUUCAGUCUUGCUGGGCUCGUGAAAGGACAAAUUUGCUUUUCUGAACUGCAUAAAUCUAUACAAUUUCAUUUCUUUCUUGAGAACAAAUAUAUGUAACAGACAGAUUUUUGCAUUUCUUUUCUUUCUUUUAUACCAUGAUUUAUAUACGUAAACAAGAUGUAAUAUUACUCCUUUUUAUAUUGUGGCAGGUUUAUUUUGCAUAGGUGAGCAAAAUAAAAAACUGUUUUUGUUUUCUUUUUUUUGUUUGUUUGUUUGUUCAGACACAGAACUUUUGAUAUUGCCUGAGAAUCAAGAAAGGUAGUUUCAGAUGUUGUAGCUCUUCCUCCAGAUAUACUUUGUAUUAUUUUUAGAUGCCUGUUAGUUCCUAUCAUCCCAGCUGAACAGUGUAAAUUCAUGAGUGAAUGGUGGGCUUGAAUGGACCUUUGAUAGUGAUACUUUUCAAAAACCAUUCCCUGUCCUUCUGGAAAGGAGAAACUGGAACAGGAUGAUGAAAUGACAUGCAAUAAUGAUGCAUUCUCAGUCAUGUGUUUUCUGAAGUUGGUUCUCUGAGAUCUUCCAAUUCUGUUCCCAGUAUGAAGCUCAGUUGUGUGGAGCCAUCUAGUUAACAAUUCACACAAAUAAAAUGAUUUUCAGAUGUGUUCAGUACCCUUAAAGUACUGUUUACUUUAAUUGCCAUGAUAAUUUUUCAAUGCUGAAUAUAAGCACGGAAAUUAGCUUCUGAAGAGCCAGAUUGAGCAGGACUUCAACAAUUAGACUAAUGACUGUGUUGUAAGCAUGAUAAUAUGUAGGAGGUAUUACUAGCAAGUUUAAGUUUCAUUAGGAAGCUGUAUUGGGCUUACAUAGCAAGGUUUUGACAGAAGGAGGCCUGUAGGGGGUGACCCCUGGCAGUAGAACCCUACAGCUUCCCAAGGUCAGUGUGGAAGGAGGGCAGGAGGUGCUCCAGUCAUAGAGCAGAAGUUCCCUGAAGACCAGGAGAGACACAUGGUGGAGCAGGCUGUCCCCCUGCAGCCCAUGGGUUCCACAUGGAGCAGAUCUCCAUAUGCAGCUGUGGAGGAGCCCAAGGUGCAGCAGGUGGAUGUGGACUGAAGGAAGCUGCAGCCCAAGGAGAGCCCCUGAAGGAGCAGACUUUAGGCCAAAACUGCAGCCUAUGGAGAGGAUCCCCCAGUGGAGGAAGUGAUCUAGCAGAAGCUGUCAGCUUUGAGGCCAUGUUCUGGAGCAGUCCAGUCCGUUCCUGAAGGGAGGGCCCUGUGCUAUGAAGCUAUGUUUGAACAGUGCUUGGAGAGCUGCAACCUGUGGAGAGUCUGCAUGGGAUCAGUUCAGAAAGGAUGGCAUCCCAUGAGAGGGAUCCCACAUGGAGCAGAAGCAGAGACUGCCCAUGAAGGAGCAGCAGAGACAAAGCAUUAUAAUUCGACUGCAGCCACCGUUCCCCAUUUCCCUGCACUGCCUGGGGGCAGGAGGAGAGAGUGGAUGGAGGAAGAUGUUUGUCAUUUGGUUUUAGAUUCUCCAUAUGCUCAGUCAGUUUUGUCUUUGAUAAUAAUUGGUGAGUGAUCUUCCUGUGUUUAUCUCAACCACUGACUCCUUUUUCAUUGCAUUUUCUCCCCCUGUCCCUUUGAAGAGAAGGGUAAGAGUUGUGAUGAAGUUGACUAGUUAUUAGUGUGAAACCAUGUUAGUCUGAAGUAUUAGUUAAAGAAAAAAAAAAACAACAAACAGAGAAAUGAUAGCUGAAAUUGCUUGGGAUGUUGGAUUAGUUGGUUUGGUUAUUAUUGAAGUGGUACAAUAAUACUACUAAGAUGACAAAUAUUUAUGCAUAUUUUAUGCAAAUAUGCAACAUUAGAAAUCUAUAAAAAUAAGGUAUCCUGAUGAUUCCUAAAUAUAGGUUAGAAAAUGUUUCCAGAAAUGGUUAAUAAACAGUGAUAUAAUAAGCUUUGUUACUUUGGUGCUCUUUCAAAGAUGUUCAGUUGCAUUAAACCCUCUUGCUUUGUGAGUGCUUAAACGAGAUUGUAGUUGUUAACAUAGAUGUCAAGAGGCUCUGUCAUUCUGUUUUUUGCACAAAAUUUUUAUAGAUAAAAACUUUCCUUUUAUCAUUGUAGGCCUCAUCUUCUCCUCUCAUGUACUUUUGCUCAUAAUUUUGUAAUACCUAGUCAGUGAUAGACUUUGCAAAGUCAUGUUUUCUUCUCUCAUCUCUAAUCUGGUUGAAUCUGGAAGCCAGUAAGACUGAACUGUACUUUUUCCACUUCUUGUAUUCAGAGAAGGUAGCUGGAGAAGAGGCUUAGUGAUAUUGCAUAAAUGAGCAUGUAGAGGCCAGACUGAGAAUUAACCCUAGAAUUCUUGAAUUCCAGUUUUGCAGUUAAAUAUAUACAAUGUCAGUUGUCUAAAUGACCCUAUUUGAACUUCAUUUCUGGGGUGUUCAUUACAAUGCUAUCAGGAUAAUGACUGAAGCCUUAAGUAUCUAUUCCUUACGUAGACUAUUGUGCUUUCUUAUAAAAGUGUACCGCUGUUGUAUGUAAUUUUCUACUUGUGCUUUGUGAAAUGCUGUAUUCCAGGUGUUUUUUGCAAAGAGAAAAGUCAGAGAUUUUUCCCUUGUCUUUGUAGGAAGAAAGCUAUCAGAUUGAUACUGCAGUGUUCAUCUUGAAAAUGGAACUACAGUUACUGUGAAGCUAGAUACGUAAACCUGAAGUAAUGGUCUGUUUUCUUCUACAAGGGACUCUCACUUUACCUGACACAAAACUGCAUAUAAUGAUUAAGAUCAUUAGCUUUUUUCAGCAUUUUCACAUGUGAAUAGAGACCUGGUCAUCAAUGGUAGUACUGGAUAAUCUUAGAGGUAUUUUGCAACUUUUGAUUCUCAUUCUAUGAAUCUAUGAUUUAUUCAAUAUUAGAGGAAGAAUUAGCAGCUUCAUGAAGUAGUGCUACUCUACAAGAGGAAAUUGGUUCACUGCUGGACUUCAGGUAAAAUCAGGCCCAAGUGUGUGUUAUCAUGAACAGGGCUGAAGUAUGUUACCUUCAUAACGUCAAACUUGCCUGCAUAGGUUUAAAAAGAUUAGGGUUUAAAUUGUUAGCAAACCUCUGAGAUUCAGUGAGCUGCAACUUACUUCUUGUGAGUAAUGAUUUUAAUUUGAAACAUUCUGCGUAAUUUCUGUUGUUCAAACUCAGAAGUUGGUUUCAAAAGUGUGUAGGUUUGAAAAGAAACAAUAUUACAGUCAUCCUUAUAUUCAUAUCUGGAUAGCAUAUAGAGUUGCAGUGCAUGAGAUGAAUCAAAGCAGAUAUCAAUAAGGAAGCUGCAAUAUAAGAAUAGAGAUUUUGGAUUUUCUAUCAUCUAGCAUUUGUGUAAAAAUAAUAUCUGGUUUAGGAACAAAAUGAGGUUAUUGCAAAUGAAAUCACUUGAUUGGGAUAAAAGAGGAUCUGUACUUUUUUUUUUUUUUUUUUUUUUUUUUGUCAUUCUAGAAUUUGUCUACUUAUCCAGAAGCAGGCAUGUUAUCUUGAUAUCAUAGUGUGUGACAUUCCAGCUAAUAGUUAAUAGCAUUAGGAUUCAGUACAACACUACAUUAAGGCGAAGACAAAGCAUGCAGAUUCAUGUUUUUAGUGAGGAUCUUUUCUGCCACAUGUGCUCUUCCAUCAGCAGUUGCUGUAAAAUUUGGUCUACUACUCAGUCUGAUUAGAGAUGCUGUUGCUGAACUCAUCAGAAAUGAAUGCUUUAUAUUAUAUCUUGUGUUCUGGUACAGAGGAUAGAGAUAAGCAGCAUCCGCUACUUGUUUGACUUCUUGAUCUGUCAUAAGGCCAAGCAUAACUUGGAAUGGUAGAAAUGCCAUUGUGUAAUGAUAACUCCAUCAGGAAAGAUAUUUUUUACCUUGAUCAACAAAUUCUUCCUGCUGGAAGAUGUUAUUCAGAAUGAGAAAAUAGACGUGUUUAGUUUUUGUUCAAAACAUGCUAGCCUUAAUACAAAGGAGGAAAAAAAACCAACAACAAAUGAAAAUGUACUUCAGAAGAAGAAAACAUUAUGUGUAUGAGUAAAAUUGUCAGGUAUUCAUUUACUGUAUCUGCCAAAAAGGACAGUGCAUUUGGCUGCAUGAACUAUUUAUAUUGGAUCAGUUAUCUAGCUGUUUUUCAAGGAAAACCAGGAAAAAAAUGGUUUUAUACAUGACUCUGUGACUAGAAACAGGAAUAAUUGCUAACUAAAUAAGUGCUUUUAAAAGCUGUCAGUAGGUUGGUUGUAGGGUUAUUUUUCCAGUUUAGCUCACUUAUUAUGUUCUUUGAAUAUUUCUUAAUGAAAUAAAAGAGACAUAUUUGGAGAAAAUAGCUGGUAGUGAAAUUAAUCUGAAAUUUAUUUCAUUGCUAUUCUACUCUCCUUGUGAGAGUACUCUAUGCUAAUACAUACACAAUGUCUGUGAAUAGAAAGAGUUCUGAAGUUCCAUCAUUUUUUCAGCUCCAUUAUUUCUGCCUUAUCAAUUAAGUAGUAUUAUCCAUAAUUUAGGAUAGAUAGAAAAUAUAACAUAGGUUGGUAUUUUUUCACAUGAUGUUAUAUCAUUUCAGUAUUUGGGGGAUUUUAAAGUCAACUAGCUUUUAAGGUAAAAUUCUUACUGAUGGUUCUUGUGUGCUCAGGCUGUACCAAACAUAAAACCAAUGGCUUUGUCACACUUGGGUUCCACAGGAAGUUUCAAAGCAAAAGCUCAGGCAUACAUUUGUCUGAUUUGCAUCUGCCCUGGCUGUACUAUAGGGGAAUGUAAGGUCUGUGUCCCAGCUUCUGCUGAAACUUGAUGAUGACGGAACUAUGGUUGUAUAGAUGAUUCAAGAAUAUUUAUAUUGUUCAAUAUACUUAGACAUAUACACAUGUCUAGGUUAGUAUCUUAAAAUCCUUACUUAGGUAAUGAGGAAGAUAGAUUUUGUGAAAGAUUAGCUAUGUAGAUUAUUGGCUGAAAGUCACUCUCCUUGAGCUAACAGUUUUGUUGGAGCGCUUUAUAGGACCAAGGGACUUCUAUUAGGCCUCAAAGUGAAAAGUAUGAAUUCUGCCUUCUGUGACAGAUAAUUGAGAAAAUUUGUACUCAGAAGUAUUUUAGAGUCAUCAGCACAAGGCAGGUAAGUCCUGAACAUUUUGUUCAUCCUGUUUGGAUAGAUGUGACAGAUAACAGAAUUGAUGUGCUGGCAAGAAAUGAACUACGGCACAUGUCAUAUAAACAGAUUUAUGGUUUGGGGACUUUUUUCUGUUACUGGUCUAAAUCUACAGAGAUACCAGCAGUUACGUUUUUACUGAGGUCAUUCCAGAUGUAGUGUCUCCUAUUAAUUUCCGUGGAAACUACAACUGAUGCAAAGAACAGAAUAAUGAUAGAGCAAAUUCUUGGCUACCAAGCACUAUUUUUCAACACAGUCACAACUAUCUGUUGAUUCAUGCAGAUGAGCUGACCAGGGUACUCUUCAUUUCAUGGUGUGACAGAAGAACACAUCCGUCUGGAACGUGGCUUACUUUUCACACUGCUUUUGCCACUGCUGAUAUGCACCUCUUGCAGCCUCAUUGUGCUCACAUCCUGUUUGGUUUUUAUAAACAGAGCAAGUGUCGAUGAAUGUCAGUGGGAGCCAUUUUCUCCACAUGGAGGAAUUCAAUGACACACCUUUUUCUUCAUACGCACUUCCAUGUUAGAUGCCAUUUUGUCAGACUGCCCCUCUGCUCCCAUCAGUUACAUGGCAACAAAAUGUAACAGAGUAUUGGCAGGAAGGUUCAGCCUCUACUACCAUACCACCACCAUCUGUCCAUGUCAUGGGCCAGCAUAAUGAAAUAGUAGUUUUUUCUUUUGGAACAGCCUUUAUAUAUUAUGAUUGGGUUUUAUUUCCAGAAAAAAAUGUAAAAAUAAAUGCUCCUGAAUGACACAGAAGCUAUUCAGAAAUGCUUUUAGAAAGAAUCUGCGCAGGCUCUGGGAAUCCCAAGAACUCACAGGAGCAUUGUGACUUUCCCAAAUGUGUUAUCAACUAGCAAAAUAAUGCUGUUGUUGGAAGAAUGUGAAGGUUAUCGUGCAAAACAUGUUUAUAUUGUUGAAGUGAGAGGAAAUGAUGGUAACUCCCAGAGUAAGGGGUGAACUUCCUCUUCUGAAUAUUCUGACUUUCAGUACCCUCUCCCAAUGCAAGAUUAGUCCUGAUCAUUUUCAGAAGAAUCAGGAACAUUGUUAAUGAACAAAGAAGUUAUCUUCAAAAUUAAUAGUCCACUUUUUUGCUUCUUAAGCUUUACAUUCCUUUCAGCAUGGUUGUUCAAAAAUUUUAAUUAUUUUCCUUUUAUUUUUCUCUUAUUGAAUAUGUGUUUCCUCAUUGAUACUUCUGUCUUUUUACCCUUGAGCCCCAGAUCAUAACCACUGCUACUUGCUACAUUAGCCAUUCUUAAAAACUUCAUUGUAUGAUUAGAAACCACCUCUUCUAAUUUGGAGAAAGUUUGAGCUAAUUGAAACCAGUUCAGAUCUUGUUCAUGUUGUCUACCCCAGCUCAUUACUAUUCCCUGUUGUCUUCAAAAUAAAGCUUUGAUUUCAAUUUUUUUUUUCAUUAUUAACCUGCUUUUUUUGGCUUUGUCUUGGCUGCUCUUUCUAGGACUACUUGGUAGGUAUCUCACCACCUUCCUGAGCUGGCAGGCACACAACAGCACAAACACUUAAAGAAUACUUUCUUUUGUGCUGCUUCAAAUAAAUAAAUAAAGUAUAUUCUUCAAAGUCUGCGGUGUUGUUGGAUUAGCAUGUCCUUUAAUAUAGAGAAAACAGGUUGAUAGAAAGAUUAUUUUUCACUUUAUGUUAUGUCCAGUCUAUAGUAGACCCAGUUGUGCCCCAGAUAACAGAGCCCUGCUUAGAAUUUCCAUAGGUUCAGAUAGUUCAAAGAUGUGGAUGUCUGAGAUCAUCAAACCCCAAAACUGUUUAUCGAGAUAUAGAUAAAUAUUUCAAUGUAAAUGUUAAAAUUUAAAUGCUUUGGUGAUACCAAAGCUUAUUGUGGUCAUUUAUUUAUUAAUAACUCUUUGGCCCCUUUUGUCUAAGUAUUCGUUCAGACCUAAAAGAAAAACAACAAACAAAAAAAAGAUUUUUGUUUUUUUCUCAAAAGUGGACUUUUGCCAGUGGAAUAGCCUAAUACUUCUUUAGCCAUCUGUAAAAGAAGAGAAAGAUUGUUGUAGAUUUGUACAUGUGGACUUAGUAAAAUGAAGCCUUUGACUCUUAUUUUAAAUGCAACUGUAUAAACCUUGCUGAACUUAGGGCAACUAGCUCUCUUCCAACUAAAUCUGCUCUUAGUUUUCCUGGCUCCAUCUUAAACUAGAAAUGCACUUCAUCUCUAAGUAUCAAGAGAUCAAGAGUCUCAAAUCAGGUGAAAGUUUGAACUUUCACAGAAAUACUAUUUGUAAACCUUUUUUUUUUCUUCUUCUUUUUUUUCUCAGGGAAAGCUUAGAAGUGAAAACUCAAAAUGCUCAGUAGUCAUAAAGCCGUUAAAAAUGCCCCAAACUUACUACUGUUUGAGAACAAACUAAUGAGUAUUUUUAGUAGAUGUACUGCAUGCAAAACAGCAACAAGAAAACACUGUAUCAUAGAUUUUUGCUGAAAAGUGAUAGUUUAAAAACAGUCUUCUUUUUUACAAUAUUCUGCUGUAGUAUUUAUUUCUUUGUUUAAAUAUAAAGUGAUAGAACCUGAUAUCUCAUCCCGAAAACAAAUGUUUACAAUAUUCGUGCACAUAAAUCUGCAGGGGAAACAAAUACAGAAAAUUCUCAUUAAUGCAGUACAUUUUCUGGUGAUUUUAUAGUCUAAUUUUCUGUGGUUCCCUACAGAAUGAAUGCUGUUCAGAAAGCAAUUCUAUAAAGUACUUUGUGAAUAACUAUUAUCGGCUAAUUAUUAGAAAUUGCAUGUUGUUGUUAAUUGCAUAAAUAAAUUGUUUUAUCUGAAAGCCAUUUUAAAAAUGUUGGGUGUUUGAAGCAUAUAUGGUUUUGAUGUUCCUGUAUAAAACAUUUAACUGUUUAGCGCAAAAAUAAUGGCAAGGCCAUCAUUUAUACCAUUUUUUAAAAUAUUUUUAAAGCAUUUUUAUGCUCUAUUGCAUUGAAAAGGAAAAGAAAAAAAUAAUUUCAAAGGUGUUUUUUUUUUUUUUAAUUGUUGCCUAAUGAAUAUUCAAAUUAAAAACUGUUUUAUACUUCUUUAUGAAGGUGUUUGCAUGAGAUUGUUCUUAAUUUUGUGGGACUGGCCUAAACUAGAACCUUUAACUCUUCUUGCUUUAAGUUGGUUAAGGAAUGCAAAGUGUUUUUUCCUAGCUGCAUACGUUGAUUAUUCUAGCUUUUUAUGUACAUCUGGGCAAAAUCAAGAACUAUGGAAGUUUCUCUGGCAGUCAUUGUAUUCCUUCAACUUUGUAAACUCAAAGAUAAACUGAGGUGGCAAGAUUGAGUAGGCAGGUGUUUUCCAUUGACUUACACUGGGUCAGAAUUUUAUAUUGAGAAUCUGUUUGUGCUGUAGAUCCAAACAGGCCCUGUUUUUGCUCUGCAGUAGU